UAUUAAGACUUUUGCUGCUCUCAGAACAAGGAAACCUGAAUUCGGCUCCCCCUUUUGUGUAUCUCGAGUGAACUGCAUUUAUUCCUUUUCACAUCAUAAGAGAACAAGGAAAUCAAAAUUCGGCUCCUCCUUUUGUGCAUCUUGAGUGAACUGCAUCUAUUCCUUUUCACAAUAUAAGUAUUUGUCUCCUUUUGCUCAUGAUCUUUAGUUUCUCUUCCUCACAAAUUCUUUCCAUGUGUGAACAUUGCAAAGUUUGAAGUAAAAGUUUGUUAGUGUUUGGAAGAAUUGACAAAAAUGACACAAGUGCUUACGUACUCAUUAGUGACUGAAACUAGACACAAGUGAAUAGUGACUGUAACCGGCUCUUCUGCAAGAGAAAUGUGUUGUUUCAACACCAGUCAAAGCUUGAUUGUGUCAAAAAAUAUAGAACUCUCCCAACGUCUUUUCGCGCCUUCGCCGAAGUAAUGGCUUCGCUCCGCAAGAAGCGCAGGAUUCUUCUUCGCUUUCACUCAAGGAGUUAUGAAUUUUGAAAAUUUACUUCUCCUCAUCAGUGUGGCUCUUUUUAUUAGUAAGGAAUUCCUACCAACCAUUUCGAGUGGUCUGUGCGAAACGGACGGAACCAAACGGACGGUGCGAUAUUUGCUUCGAUGGUUCCCUCGUGGCAUUGUGGAGGAGGAGUGGCAAACGGUAGAUAAAGUCCGUGGGCAUAGGUUUGUAGACAUGAGGACACUUGCAGAAGAAGAAAGGCAGACUUGCCUGAGAUAUAUUUCCAGGGCAGUUCAACCCCUUCAAAAUCCUCACGAAAAUUAUACCGAAGUCACCAAAAUUGUAGCUAAAAUUUUUUAUUUAUUUCUCUUAACUGAUUUAUUUUAUGUGUACAUAAAUUUGUUAUCAAUAUUUAUAAGUACAUAUUCAAAGUAUGUAUAA
rnacentral:lncRNA from 1 species